ACAUGGCGGAUGUAAAGCCGAUACAACUUUGUUUUCUGUGUAAUAACGAUGUACAAAGGAAUGUUUCUGUUGUUAUAUCUAUCUCCAUUGAUCAAGCGUAUGUUUAUUUCAAAAUGCAUCAUGUUAAAUAUAUCAACCCUUGUGUUUUCAGGUGGAAAAACGACGAACAAUGCAACUUUUUUCAAUGAAAACUUUUACAAAAAAUCUUUAAAAAUACUUCUAUGCUUUUGAUGCCUCGACUAUUUUGUUGUUUGAAAGCAAAGAUAUGCUGCUUUAUAGGCCCGUUUACACUAUGUUGUUAACCAACUACAUGUUGACACAAUACAUGUUCAAAUGUACUGACAGCGAGAAAAUGGAUAAAAACCUAACUUUGAGUUGAUAAAAACCGAACUCAGGAAUGGAUAAAAACCUUACUUACACGAAAUUGCGUGACGGAUAAACACCUAACUGACUAGUAUUCUAUAGAAAUGAAUGAGUUGACAUGUACAUGGUGUGAUUAUUGUAAACAUUACUUUAUAAGCGGUAUUGUCUUCAAACUUUGUCAUUAAUUUUUCAAGAUGUUAUAUGUAUGCCCACUACAGUCAAGUAUUUUUUCAUAAUUUUAAUAUUAUGCAAAUAGCAAUGUUUGGAAAAAUCUGGAUAAAACCUGAAAAAAUAACUCAGUAUAAAAGUCAAAAUUAUUAUAUUUAUAUAAGAAAUUAUUUAAUACCACCGAUGUUCGAAGUUCUGUAGUCCCCAACCCUCUCUCCCUCUCCCUCACACACACACACACACGCACACAUACAUGUAAACGCAACCAAUCGGGGAUGUAAGCUAUAAACCUACCAACUGGGAACUUCUUUAUUACUGUAGCUACAGUUAUCAUAUUUCUAUCAACUCUUAUUCUUAUGAUCUUAAAAUUAUCCAAGGCUUUAGAUUAAAGCUAUCUUCAAUUAUUAAGCAAUGAUAUGAGCGGGGAAUUUUGUGUUUAAACCAACUGAGGUGUAUGUGUAACAAACCGGGUGUUUGUGUAUAGACGAAAUGUGGAAUUGUGUGUUUCAACAAAACGGGGAGUUAGUGUAUAACUAACCGGGUACGUGUGUAAAGUUGAAACGAGGAACUAGGUAUUAAAAUGGUGAAUGCGGAAGCUCCUGUUACAUAUCAUAUAUAUAUGAGGAAAGACAAUCGAGGGACUUAAUUUGAUUUGAUGGGUUUUACGCCAUUUUAAACACUGUUUCAGUUAUGUCAGGUGGGUAGUUUACCCAACAAUCGUUCCUAGAAAGAUCAAGUACUAGUACUCAAACUGUCAUCUUUCUUACAUAAAGAGACCUGGUCGGUAGCAAGGAUUGAACUCAUGCCCCUUAAUCAGUGAGUACUUACGAGUGAUUUUAAGUCAGCGACUCUAACCACCCGAAAACAGAGGCGGUCAGACAAUAGAGAAAGUUCUAUAUUCUGUAUGUAGAUACAUGUAGCAAUCAGUCGACAUUCAAUCAAAAAUUGUCUAUGUCAAAUGUUAACAUUAAAAUAACUGUUUAUGACAAGACAUAGAACAAUUGAAGAACAAACCAGACUAAUGAUGCAGAGAUAUAAUAAAGCACCAAACAGUAUCUGGUUUUAUCAGUUGUGUUCUUAAAUCACUUUCCAUUGCCUACAGCAACUUUUGAACUUCGAUAUUAUAAGAUUCUUUCACUGGUUGUAGGUGCUAAUAGGAAUAUCCGGCCUCGAGGGUAACUGUUUAGGCGGUAACGAGGCUCUCUGUCGAGUUACCGCCAUAAUAGACACCCGAGAGCAGGAUAUUUCCAUCUGCACCUAUAACCAGUGGUAGAAUCUUUUUCUUGCAUACCAGUUUCAAGAAAUAAUAAUAAAAAUGAAAAUAAAAUCAAUUGAACAGCUUUCUUUUUUAGAACUAGAUCUAUUUCUUAUGGAGUGUAUUUAAACAAAGCGCGGGAAACCAACGUAUGUAAACAGGAAAGACGUCAUGACGUUUCAAAACAAACAACAAUGUUUAGUUCCGGUUUUGUUUUACCAGUUGCAGCGUAACGUUAUGAAUUUUGAUAAGAUAAAGUGAUUUGAAUCGAGAAAUAUACUAUCAGGAACCAAUAGGAACUGUCAAGGUUUCCCAGGGCAUACGACAAAAUAUGGAGUGUAGUCUUGGAGUAGAGUCACGGAGUGGAGUCAUGGAGUGAGGUUUUGGAGUGACCUUGGAGUGAAAAAAUAGAAUAAGCAUAAAUGGCAGAUAUAAAAGAAAACGCCGGCGAAAGGCCAGAUUUUGAACUGAAAAGUGUUGUAUACAAAGGCGUUACAAUGUUUGAAUGUGAAAUAGAUGACAUAGAAAAACUGAAGAUUAGAGAGGACGAUAUAUGGGUUUGCGGUUUCUCAAGAUCUGGUGAGAACUACAAUGACACAGGAGCUCACAUAUUUAGUUCAAACACUGGACUUCGAAACGGCUAGAAAAGUUUACCUAGACGAUAGGUUCCCGAUACUGGAGUUGAAAGAUGACAGCUUUCCAUAUUAUAGAGGUGUAAAGUUUGUCGAACAAAUGAAGGCGCCCCGGAUGAUUUAAUCACAUCUACAUGGUUUUAAUGUCUGAUUCUAUAGAAGAUCUUCAGCAAAGUUUGAAUAAGCUCCACACUUAUUGUGAACGAUGGAGAUUAAAGGUGAACACCGACAAAACUAAGGUGAUGGUAUUUAGACGGCGGUUAGAUUGAAAAGAAAUGAACAAUGGACAUAUAACGGAGAUCAGUUAGAAGUCGUUGACAACUUUAAUUAACUUGGCACAGUUUUUAACUCAAACGGGCGUUUUGAAUUUAAAUACGCAAAUGUUAGUAGGUAAAUCGCUUAAGCAAUGAACACUAUUAUUCAAUACCAAAUACUUUGAAUUUACACCUAAAACUAUGUGUGGUCUUUUUGAUUCAUUUUGUGUAUCUAUUCUGAAUUAUUCGGCAGAAGUAAAGACAUGUUUUGGCUACGUUUGGGAAUGUCCGCUAAAAAUAGAUGUGAACACUUUUAUACCAUAUUUUAAGCAACGGUUGAUUGAUAAUUUUGUACAAGACUGGAACAAAUUUGUUACCAAACAUUAACAAUAACAGGAACCAGCUAUUGAAUAAGUUUUUGUCUGACACAAACUAUGUUCCUGUGAAUAAGUUAGAAAGUUGUACAGGAGCAAAAUACUCAUUUGUAUCCUAUGAUAAUUGUCACGUGUCUCUCAUUGAUCAUAUAUGUAUACCUGUGGAAACUCUAGAUUGUAUGACAUUUUGUGAAAUUCUGGACGAUAACUGUCUGAAUGUUUCCCGCCACAGGCCAAUUGUAUCGUCAUUGUGCUUUGUUGCGAACUGUGCAAGUGUAACACGACUGAAUAUGGUGGAAAAUUAUACAAAAAUAAACUGGAAAAAAGUAAAAGACUAUGAUAAAUCUAACUAUAUGUCUGCUUUAAAAGACAACAAGGAUUUACUACAAUUAGAGACUUGUGUGUUAA